rnacentral:tRNA from 1 species
GCCCGCUUGGCGGAAUUGGUAGACGCAACGGACUUAAAAUCCGUUGUCCUUCGGGACGUGCCGGUUCGAGUCCGGCAGCGGGCA